rnacentral:rRNA from 1 species
UUGAUCCUUGCUCAGAUUGAACGCUGGCGGCAGGCCUAACACAUGCAAGUCGAGCGGCAGCACGGGGAGCUUGCUCCCUGGUGGCGAGCGGCGGACGGGUGAGUAAUGCAUAGGAAUCUGCCCGGUAGUGGGGGAUAACCUGGGGAAACCCAGGCUAAUACCGCAUACGUCCUACGGGAGAAAGCAGGGGACCUUCGGGCCUUGCGCUAUCGGAUGAGCCUAUGUCGGAUUAGCUGGUUGGUGAGGUAAUGGCUCACCAAGGCAACGAUCCGUAGCUGGUCUGAGAGGAUGAUCGGCCACAUCGGGACUGAGACACGGCCCGAACUCCUACGGGAGGCAGCAGUGGGGAAUAUUGGACAAUGGGCGCAAGCCUGAUCCAGCCACGCCGCGUGUGUGAAGAAGGCCCUCGGGUUGUAAAGCACUUUCAGUGGGGAAGAAAGCCUUCCGGUUAAUACCCGGGAGGAGGGACAUCACCCACAGAACAUGCACCGGCUAACUCCGUGCCA